GUGAGUAGUUCAGAGUUUGAUCCUGGCUCAGGACGAACGCUGGCGGCGUGCUUAACACAUGCAAGUCGAGCGGGGAUUGAUGAAGUGCUUGCACGGAUUCAAUUCUAGCGGCGGACGGGUGAGUAACGCGUGAACAAUCUGUCCCAGACAGGGGGAUAACACUUGGAAACAGGUGCUAAUACCGCAUAAGACCACGAGAGCACAUGCUCAUGGGGUAAAAGAUUUAUCGGUCUGGGGUGAGUUCGCGUCCGAUUAGCUAGUUGGUGAGGUAACGGCCCACCAAGGCGACGAUCGGUAGCCGACCUGAGAGGGUGAUCGGCCACAUUGGAACUGAGACACGGUCCAA
rnacentral:rRNA from 1 species